rnacentral:lncRNA from 1 species
CUAUAUGGCUAAGUAGGGAACAACCAAAUUAUAUAUUCUCUGUUAAUUACUGAGAUUCUGUUAUUUUCUGUCCUUGGAAUUGACUUGGAAUCACAGUUACUCUGUGUAUUCAUAACCUCCAUUAAUGUUGAUGAAAAUUGUGAGAUUUAGAAUAACUAUAUCCUCCAAAAUAAUUUUUACUCCCUUUCCAUAAUAUAGAUGAAAACACAAUACUAAAUGUUUUUGUUUUUAAAAAAAGUAAAUUUUGUCAACAGAAUU